rnacentral:rRNA from 1 species
AUUGAACGCUGGCGGCAGGCUUAACACAUGCAAGUCGAGCGAGCAGCGGAAGGGUGAGUAAUGUCUGGGAAACUGCCUGAUGGAGGGGGAUAACUACUGGAAACGGUAGCUAAUACCGCAUAACAUUGGAUGGGCCCAGAUGGGAUUAGCUAGUUGGUGGGGUAAAGGCUCACCUAGGCGACGAUCCCUAGCUGGGCUGAGAGGAUGAACAGCCACACGGGGACUGAGACACGGUCCAGACUCCUACGGGAGGCAGCAGUGGGGAAUAUUGCACAAUGGGCGAAAGCCUGAUGCAGCCAUGCCGCGUGUGUGAUGAAGGCCUUCGGGUUGUAAAGCACUUUCGGCGAUGAGGCGUUAUUCGCAGAAGAAGCACCGGCUAACUCCGUGCCAGCAGCCGCGGUAAUUC